UGCUUUGAAAAAACUGUAAAACGUCUUUUGCCGAGCUUGGAUUCAUUUCCCUUAGCAGAUGAUUUCAGUAACUUCACAUCAUUUUUCAUCUGGCAAGUCAAGGGAAGCCAAGCUUUGAGAGAAAUAAAGCUUGCUCCUUGGAGUGGAACAAUGCCGCAGAAGGUGAAACAACUUCAUUCUCCAUGCAGACAUGCGUGCCCUUCAAGUACUUGUGGGGAGAGGCCGAGCAGGGGAAGAAUUGGUCCACGUCUACCAAAGGAGUCCCCUGAAGCAUGCGGCCUUUACAGAGAAGAGAGAAUUGCCUCAGUUUCAGGCUUCAUGGGAGGUCAAGAGUAGAGCAAAGGCUGACCUUGAAGAAUUGGAGAAGACAUCAAGCUCCCUGCCCCCAACCUGGCCAAAGCUCCGGUAGGGGGAGAUUUGGGGGACCUCUUUCUUCUCCGCAGCCCUGACUGCUUGCACAUCUCCAGGAGCAGAGGGCGGGCCCCUCCGGAAUGGCCCUGCCAAGCCCUGGCCCCUGGAAGCCCUCCUCAGGAUUACACUCCCUGCUGGGAGGAAUAUAAAUAUGGUUACUGCAUACCAUCUUUAAACAUCAUACAAAAGAAGAACAACCAGGUCCAAAUGAUAAUAUUUUGAAAAGCCACAGGGAGCUUCUGCUGCUGUUGAGUUAGAACUGUGCCUCUUUCGUGCGAUUAAGGGAGCCCUUGUGAGUUUUUUCUUUUCCUUAGAGACAGAACAUAGUUUCUCCCCUCCUACUUCAGCACUUUACAAUUUUUAAGGUUUUUAAGUGCACUGCAUUUACAUUUACUACUCACUCUCUAAAUGAAAGCAGGCUAAAAACAUUAAUGAGCCUCUUGAUUACUGCCGCCCUUGAAAAAUUAAUUAAUGAUAAUGCAGCAUACACUUAACAUUCCUUGUCUCCGUGACUGGAAAUGUGAGCGGCAUCACCAAACGAUCUGUAUUUUAAUCCCCCACGCACCGAAGAGCCACCAGGUGUGUUUCCAGCUAAGGAGUUGGUAUUCCAGGCCCCUUUUGGUUGGUUUUUCCUGGAGGAAAGCUAUUCCCUGGAUAAUUAAGUGACAGCACUCACUUCUCAUAGCCUGGAGGUUUUUGUUUUCCCCUAAAGUUGGUGGUUUUAGCUGGAAGAUCCUAGAGUUUGUCUUGUUGUUUCUUUCUCAGUAAACAAGCAUCAAGCACCAGCACUUACUUGUCCCUUCUCCUGUAAUAAUAACCAACACAUAUUUUGCUUAAUUUGUCAGGGACUGUGUCUUUGUGUGUGUGUGAGUGUGUGUGUGUGUAGUUACUUAUUCUCACAAUAACUCUGGAGUAGGUCCUAUUAUUAUCCAUUUUAUAAAGAAUGAAAUAAAGAUGCAGAGAUGUCAAUCAAGUUACUUAAGGAUGCACAGAGAAAAAGCAGCAGAGUCAGGAUCUGAACUCAAAAAGCUGGGCACCAGACUCCCUGCCUUAACCAUUAAUGACAUCUUACAGUCACCCAUAUGGACAUUUUGAUCUGGUGUGUGUGUAUGUGUUUUAAACUCAAAAUAUGUUGAUUGGGAUGGUGUCCCACUCAUCUUGGUGCAGGACGCUUUUAGUGCUGCUCCUGCCAAAAGGGACAUCCUUCAAUGACCUUGCUUUGCCUCCUGUAGGCUGGCUGAGGACAGGAGAGCAAGCGAUGUGCAAAACAACCAUUUGAGCGUGGGUAAAGGCCAAGAUGAUUCUACAGCACGCAGGCCUCAUUUCACAGCCAUGAGCUAGGAAUGGGGCUCUCACUAGGCAUUUGCUUUGUGAGUCCUUUUUUAUUCUGGGAGGCAUGAAGGAGAUCCUUGAGCAAAUUCACUGCUGGAAAAGGGUGUACAGAAGUUGGCAUCAUUAUUCCCAUUUUUUAGAUGAGGACCUUGAGGCUCAGAGAGGAUUACUGACUUUCUUUUUUUCAGGAUCAGGCAACUUUGGUUUUUUGUGUGAAUUUGCAAAACUGCGAACUGACUGAAUCCAAAGUUGCUAUCUUUCUACUAUACCACACCAUCUCCAUGCAGUUCUGCUUGGAGUCACCAAGAUGGCCAUUCAUUGAUAAUCCUUUCUGAUCUCAGAGCUAACAUAGAUUGAGGCAACCUUACAAAUGAGUACUUUCUACUUGAAAGAGCUGUGCAACUGUCACCUACACAGCCAAGAAAUCUGACAUAAAGGUGGGGACCAGAGUGGCAUUCAUGAACAUGCUGGUGUCAACCACAUGUUGCAAGCACAAAACAAUGAAGCAGCAAAGCCUCAGGAUGUCAUAUCAAGAAGGAGCAUUGGUUGCUUCCAGGCUUUGGAGACCCUGAACCUGGCACAGUGCUUGGAACAUAAUAGGUGCUCAAUAAAUGCUUGUUGAAUGAGUGAGUCUUCAGUUAUUUGUCUGAGCACCCUUUCUCCCAAGGGAGGCAGGGAGCAAAUUUAUGCACAAGAACAGGAUCUGCCUUGCCAAAAAAAAUGCAGAGAAAUGCAUGAUGGAUCAGAACAUGAAAAGUGACCAGUUUGUAAAGAAACCUGACGUGACAGUUUAGGUCAGGGAUCCUUAUAGAAAUUAUCUCAUCCAGUCUCAAAGGUGUGCAUGGCUUGAGUGGCUGGGAUUCAGCUUCACUCUUGCAGGGUCCUCUAUGGACUGCUAGCUGACAGAAACUUAGUCCCAUGGCUCUGCUGACUGCAGGAUGAUAAGUUUGCCUCUGACAAUGAUAUAAGGUCCGUCAAGACCUUAUAUCAAGACGUUUUAUCAUGUAAAAAUAAAACAAAACAGAACAAGACAAAAUGGAAAAGACCUAAACUGUUCCAUUUAUAACCCCUUGGCAAUAAUCACGCUAUGGAAAUAAACUGAGUCUACUUUUGCAGAAUUCCGACCUCUUAGGGUUUCCUUGUUACAGUAAUGUGUGGCACGGAAAGGAAUAGUAUUACACAAGACAGGUAAGGCACCUUGGAGAGAGUGGUGGAUCGAAUUGUGUAUCCUAGUUUGGACAUGGCCUUGGUCUUGGUCUACAUUCUGGUGUGUAAGGACCCAUUGUGAAUAAGAUCUCUUUGCUUAUAAUUGUGCCUAAGAGCCUCCUCCUGAGUGCCUCUUUGUUGCUCAGAUGUGGCCCUCACUCUCUAGCUAAGCCAAUUUGGCAGGUGAAAUCACUGC